rnacentral:rRNA from 1 species
AAAGGAAUAGACGGGGGCCCGCACAAGCGGUGGAGCAUGUGGUUUAAUUCGAUGAUACGCGAGGAACCUUACCCAGGCUUGACAUAAGGGGGAAUAUGGCAGAGAUGCCAUAGCUCUUCGGAGUCGCCUUACAGGUGCUGCAUGGCUGUCGUCAGCUCGUGUCGUAAGAUGUGAGAUUAAGUUCUUCAACGAGCGCAACCCCUACCGUCUGUUGCCAGCAGGUAAAGCUGGGGACUCAGGCGGAACUGCCGGUGACAAACCGGAGGAAGGCGGGGAUGACGUCAAGUCAUCAUGGCCCUUACGUCUGGGGCUACACACGUGCUACAAUGGCCGGUACAGAGCGAAGCGAAGCCGCGAGGCGGAGCGAAUCGCAAAAAGCCGGUCUCAGUACGGACUGGAGUCUGCAACUCGACUCCACGAAGUUGGAAUCGCUAGUAAUCGCGCAUCAGCAUGGCGCGGUGAAUACGUUCCCGGGCCUUGUACACACCGCCCGU